UCCGUAUUCCGCAUCGAUUGCAUUGCGUGACUGUAUAAUGUCAUCGGUAUUCUUCGAACGAGUAAAAAAGUAUAAAAUUUAACGGACGAACUAGAAUUCUUGUGCAAGAUUGAAGUUAUUGUGUAAGACGAUAACGUCGAAUACGUACAAACUUGAAUGAAAAGAGAUAAUGUAGAACGGAAAAAAUUGGUUUCACGUUACUCGUACGACCGAGAAAAAAGUCCGUUGCGAAAAGAAUGUAAUCAGUUUUUAAAAUGCUAUUUUUCUGGAGGCUUACGUUUGUGAUCGCAGGUUACCUCACGUCACUAACGGUGCAGAGUCGCGGGGAGAUUUUCGUUUUUCGUGAAUCUGUGCAAGCCCAUGACCUGGAAGGUAUACAACAUACUUGUGUAUCGGAAGAUGUUCGUUCCACGUUAGUUUGGAAUCAAGUCCUCGACGAUUCAACAAAAUUCUCCGCCAGCACCAAAAAAUCAUAUUCGAAGAUCCGAAAAACGUGACUCAGAAAUACUCGAUUGAGAAGAUCCCGAACGAUAAGAAAU